rnacentral:rRNA from 1 species
UGGGGAAUAUUGCACAAUGGGCGCAAGCCUGAUGCAGCCAUGCCGCGUGUAUGAAGAAGGCCUUCGGGUUGUAAAGUACUUUCAGUCGGGAGGAAGGUGGUAAGGUUAAUAACCUUAUCAAUUGACGUUACCGACAGAAGAAGCACCGACUAACUCCGUGCCAGCAGCCGCGGUAAUACGGAGGGUGCAAGCGUUAAUCGGAAUUACUGGGCGUAAAGCGCACGCAGGCGGUUGAUUGAGUCAGAUGUGAAAUCCCCGGGCUUAACCCGGGAAUUGCAUCUGAUACUGGUCAGCUAGAGUCUUGUAGAGGGGGGUAGAAUUCCAUGUGUAGCGGUGAAAUGCGUAGAGAUGUGGAGGAAUACCGGUGGCGAAGGCGGCCCCCUGGACGAAGACUGACGCUCAGGUGCGAAAGCGUGGGGAGCAAACAGG